rnacentral:rRNA from 1 species
ACGAAGGGGGCUAGCGUUGUUCGGAAUUACUGGGCGUAAAGGGCGCGUAGGCGGUACUUCAAGUCAGGCGUGAAAGCCCCGGGCUCAACCUGGGAACCGCGCUUGAGACUGGAGAACUAGAGUUCGGGAGAGGAUGGUGGAAUUCCCAGUGUAGAGGUGAAAUUCGUAGAUAUUGGGAAGAACACCGAUGGCGAAGGCAGCCAUCUGGACCGACACUGACGCUGAGGCGCGAAAGCGUGGGGAGCAAACAGGA